AACAAAAAGGAAAUGCUCUGCUCAGCUAUUAGUUUGGUCAAACCCCCACUUGUCGCCAAAGUCUGGAUGAUUAAGAGCUGAAGAAACAUACCAAAUAUUCCUGAGUGUCCUAUCAAGAAGGAAUGCCAUCUUAGAUAGUGUGUCUGGCACACUCCCUAAAGUUAACAUUUGCAGUAACCUGUGUUUUUUGUCUUCACGCUCCUAGGUAAGCUACUGGGCUUUUUGACAUCUGAGACCUUCCAGCUGAAUUCAUGUGAACACUGGCAGCUGCCAAAACACCAUGAAGAAAGCAGGAUGGGACAGCAGGAGCUGGGAGUACAUUCAUGACCUUGACAUCUGGUCUGCUGAGAAGCUGUCCCUCAGAGAGAUUAUAUGGCAAGGGGAAGUGCCAGUGUUUUAUGCCCCCUCCUCGCCUCACAACAUGUUAAGCAGAACAGCAGUCCACAGUAAAGGACUCCACAAACGCCGACUGUGCUGAGCAAGCCGAGCUAGGAGGGCGGAGUAGAGCUAACAUGGCCAACCUGCCCCAAGGAGGAGAUGGCCUGGCCGGUGCUGGGAAAGCUGGCUUAGGGACAGAGCUGCUCAGGCUUCAACACCUGCAGGUUACUUGGGCCAACAGGAGGACAUUCUUCUGCCUACACCAGCUUUCUGCGACUUUAGCAGACAAGUGAGCUCUGGAAACAAUCACUGAGCAGAUCUGUAAGCAGCAAGAAUGGCUCUGAAAACUUCUGAGUUCAACUAUUCAAAAGCAACCACCUACAGGAAGUCUAAUCAGGAAGGUAAAAGACAACAGCUAUUCCAACUGCCCUCUGUGAUUCUAACCCCUUGCAGCUAUCCACAGCUAACAGCAGCAAGACACUCUUCAGGUUGAAAACCAAAGAAACAAAGCUAAAACACUUGGCGAAUUUUAAUAUAUGGAAGUGCUAACAACAGAUGAUCACUGGGGAUUCAAUGUCAUUGAUAUCAGGGCAAAGUCAUCAAUAUUUUGUUGUUGCUGAAACGAAGGCCAACUGGACAAAGUCUUUGUGCGCACACUCUAGAGACACUGUGGUACUCACACGUGUGAACAGCUGGAGUUAACCUUGCUUUUAUUCAUCCUUAUCUCUGAGGUUCAAAACUUGUCCUUACUUUUCAUCCCCUAAAUUUUGAUAGAUGAGGUUGAUCUUUUAAUACCAACCGACAACAUCCUAUAAGCAUCAGCUUCUCCGGGAAGAGCAAAUCAAGGCCUGCGAGCAAUCAAAGGCCACAGGACCAGAUUAAUCAUAAACCUAGACAACAACGGAUCCUGGAUUUUCUUCAAACACUUCCUUUCCUGUCUUUUGUUUCAACAGAACUGUACCUUCAAGGUUAACUGCAGUCUCUCUGAGCAGCAGACCAGCGCACCCUAGACCGGGAGGCACUCAUUCCUAAUCUAAGGUCCUUUCUUUACUUAUCUAUACCACUUCAUCUGAAAAAUGCUGUUAUUCACAGACAGUCAAACAAUAUACAGGCAUUCCAACCCACACAGGUCAACUCUGCAGAGAGCCAACACACCCACCUCACUGCAAAAUACAAAAAGGAUGGUUUUCCAUCAAGUUUCGGGCAAGAAACAAAAGCAAAAAUGAAAAGCAACUCAGAUCUGAAAAACCCUUACAAGUUGGUUUCUCCCCCAAAGAACAGAGUGGGGGUACAAUGGGUAUUGGGGGGGUGGGGUG